AAGAACUCUAAUCCAAGUUCUCAGUUAGCUGGUGAAAGAAGGAUAACUUCAUGGUUGUCAUUCUCUUCAGUACUUCUCCUGCUAUCUUCUGGCUCACUCUGGUUGUUGCUGUGCAUUUUGUUUCAUCCUUUAAUGUUGUAUGAGGUCCAGUUUGCACAGGCAGGCUCCCAGUAUUCUUGGUUGCUUACUGGUCUUGCUUAUUUUUUAAGCAUAAGGCUG
rnacentral:misc_RNA from 1 species